rfam:Homo sapiens chromosome 3, GRCh38 reference primary assembly.
GAGGAGGAGAUAUUUGUGUUCUCUCAUGAGCGUGAAAACAGCGUUUGGUGUUGCGUUAUUCCAACUGCCAUUUGCUAUUGGUGAUCGUUCUUCUCUAGAGAAUGCGCAACCUA